UACGUAGGGUGCAAGCGUUGUCCGGAAUUAUUGGGCGUAAAGAGCUUGUAGGCGGUUUGUCGCGUCUGCUGUGAAAUUUUCGGGGCUCAACCCCGAACUUGCAGUGGGUACGGGCAGACUAGAGUGUGGUAGGGGGAGACUGGAAUUCCUGGUGUAGCGGUGAAAUGCGCAGAUAUCAGGAGGAACACCGAUGGCGAAGGCGGCUCUCUGGGACGGUACUGACGCUGAGACGCGAAAGCGUGGGGAGCAAACAGG
rnacentral:rRNA from 1 species